GUCUACAACUGCACCACCCUAAACGCACCCAAUCUCAUUUGAUCUAGGAAGCUAAGCAGUGUCAGGCCUAGUUAGUACUCGAAUGGGAGAAAGUCAGUGUCUAAAGAUG
rnacentral:rRNA from 1 species